GGGACCGAAGCUCACGUUGGGAGAGCGCCUGCUUUGCACGCAGGAGGUCGAGGGUUCGAUUCCCUCCGGCUCCACCA
rnacentral:tRNA from 1 species